UACGUAGGGGGCUAGCGUUGUCCGGAAUCAUUGGGCGUAAAGAGCGCGUAGGCGGCCAGAUAAGUCCGGUGUGAAAGUCAAAGGCUCAACCUUUGAAUGCCGCUGGAAACUGUCUGGCUAGAGUCCGGGAGGGGCGAGUGGAAUUCCUGGUGUAGCGGUGAAAUGCGCAGAUAUCAGGAGGAACACCAUGGCGAAGGCAGCUCGCUGGAACGGUACUGACGCUGGAGGCGCGAAAGCGUGGGGAGCGAACAGG
rnacentral:rRNA from 1 species